AUAUCUUUUGAAGCAUGAAUGUGUAAUCUAUUCCUUUUUAUGCUACGUAGCAUUACUGGAAUUAACCCUGACUGGUCAGCAUACUAUCUAACUUUGGAUUUCCCUCUGAAAUUAUCCAAUUACUGAGUCCAUCUGACCUAUGGCUAUGACUUUUUUCAAUCAACACUAAUAAGUUCCUGCCUGCCUCCGUCUCCUAUCUGUUUCUCUAGGUCAGCCUUUUCCAUGUGGUCUGCUCUCUGUGUGACAGCUAAGCAUAUGCUGUGCUGAGACUCUUCCCUCCCCCAGUGGGUCUACACCUGGGAUUUGAUCUCGCCACGGCUCACGCCCCCAACCAUCUACUCCGUUUGUGCAAGACUAUCACCCUCCACGGGUUCCUGACGAAGCCCUCUCGGGCGAAACUAGUUGAACCCCCAAUUAACGUGGGCUGUGAUGAAGAUCACCUGCAGCAUCUUGCAUGUGUA